UGGAGGGAAAAGUUAUCAGGCAUGCACCUGGUAGCUAGUCUUUAAACCAAUAGAUUGCAUCGGUUUAAAAGGCAAGACCGUCAAAUUGCGGGAAAGGGGUCAACAGCCGUUCAGUACCAAGUCUCAGGGGAAACUUUGAGAUGGCCUUGCAAAGGGUAUGGUAAUAAGCUGACGGACAUGGUCCUAACCACGCAGCCAAGUCCUAAGUCAACAGGAUGGUUCUGUUGAUAUGGAUGCAGUUCACAGACUAAAUGUCGGUCGGGGAAGAUGUAUUCUUCUCAUAAGAUAUAGUCGGACCUCUCCUUAAUGGGAGCUAGCGGAUGAAGUGAUGCAACACUGGAGCCGCUGGGAACUAAUCAGUGAACCAUCCACUGAUUAGUUUUGGAGUACUCG
rnacentral:misc_RNA from 1 species